rnacentral:pre_miRNA from 1 species
AGUGGAAUUGCUGGAUCAUAUGGUAAAGCUUUGUUUAGCUUUUUGAGGAACUGCCAAACUGUUUUCUAUAGCAGCUGUACCAUUUUAAGUUCCCACCAGCAAU